CCUACGGGAGAAAGGGGGGCAGUUUACUGCUCUCGGUUUUAGAUGAGCUUAGUCGGAUUAGCUAGAUGUGGGGUAAAGGCUUCCCAUGGCGACGAUCUGUAGCUGGUCUGAGAGGAUGAUCAGCCACACCGGGAUUGAGACACGGCCCGGACUCCUACGGGAGGCAGCAGUGGGGAAUAUUGGACAAUGGGGGAAACCNUGAUCCAGCCAUGCCGCGUGUGUGAAGAAGGCCUUUUGGUUGUAAAGCACUUUAAGCAGUGAAGAAGACUCCGUGGUUAAUACCCACGGACGAUGACAUUAGCUGCAGAAUAAGCACCGGCUAACUCUGUGCCAGCAGCCGCGGUAAUACAGAGGGUGCAAGCGUUAAUCGGAAUUACUGGGCGUAAAGGGAGCGUAGGUGGCUCGAUAAGUCAGAUGUGAAAUCCCCGGGCUCAACCUGGGAACUGCAUCUGAUACUGUUGAGCUAGAGUAUGUGAGAGGAAGGUAGAAUUCCAGGUGUAGCGGUGAAAUGCGUAGAGAUCUGGAGGAAUACCGAUGGCGAAGGCAGCCUUCUGGCAUAAUACUGACACUGAGGCUCGAAAGCGUGGGUAGCAAACAGGAUUAGAUACCCUGGUAGUCCACGCCGUAAACGAUGUCUACUAGUCGUUGGGUCCCUUGAGGACUUAGUGACGCAGCUAACGCAAUAAGUAGACCGCCUGGGGAGUACGGCCGCAAGGUUAAAACUCAAAUGAAUUGACGGGGGCCCGCACAAGCGGUGGAGCAUGUGGUUUAAUUCGAUGCAACGCGAAGAACCUUACCUGGUCUUGACAUAUCUAGAAUCCUGCAGAGAUGCGGGAGUGCCUUCGGGAAUUAGAAUACAGGUGCUGCAUGGCUGUCGUCAGCUCGUGUCGUGAGAUGUUGGGUUAAGUCCCGCAANNCGAGCGCCAACCCUUGUCUCAGCCGAAUCUGAUCCACGGGUU
rnacentral:rRNA from 1 species